rnacentral:rRNA from 1 species
AUUGCACGCUGGCGGCAGGCAUAACACAUGCAAGUCGAGCGAGUGGCGGACGGGUGAGUAAUGUCUGGGAAACUGCCCGAUGGAGGGGGAUAACUACUGGAAACGGUAGCUAAUACCGCAUACCAUCAGAUGUGCCCAGAUGGGAUUAGCUGGUAGGUGGGGUAAUGGCUCACCUAGGCGACGAUCCCUAGCUGGUCUGAGAGGAUGACCAGCCACACGGGAACUGAGACACGGUCCAGACUCCGACGGGAGGCAGCAGUGGGGAAUAUUGCACAAUGGGGGCAAGCCUGAUGCAGCCAUGCCGCGUGUGUGAAGAAGGCCUUCGGGUUGUAAAGCACGUUCAGCGGGGAGGCGUUACUCGCAGAAGAAGCACCGGCUAACUCCGUGCCAGCAGCCGCGGUAAUUC